rnacentral:rRNA from 1 species
UUGGAGGGCAAGUCUGGUGCCAGCAGCCGCGGUAAUUCCAGCUCCAAUAGCGUAUAUUAAAGUUGUUGCAGUUAAAAAGCUCGUAGUUGAAUUUCGGGGUCAGUAGGUUGGUCAUGCCACUGGUAUGUACUGAUCUUACUGAUUCCUCCUUCCUGAUGAACCGUAAUGCCAUUAAUUUGGUGUUGCGGGGAGACUGGACUGUUACUUUGAAAAAAUUAGAGUGUUUAAAGCAGGCUAACGCUUGAAUACAUUAGCAUGGAAUAAUGAAAUAGGAUGUUCGAUCCUAUUUUGUUGGUUUCUAGGGUUGACGUAAUGAUUAAUAGGGAUAGUUGGGGGCAUUAGUAUUCAAUUGUCAGAGGUGAAAUUCUUGGAUUUAUUGAAGACUAACUACUGCGAAAGCAUUUGCCAAGGAUGUUUUCAUUAAUCAAGAACGAAAGUUAGGGGAUCGAAGACGAUCAGAUACCAUCGUAGUCUUAACCAUAAACUAUGCCGACUAGGGAUCGGAUGAUGUUAAUUUUUUAAUGACUCAUUCGGCGCCUUACGGGAAAC